GUUGAUGUUUCAGCCGAAACCCUUCAAUGGGAGCGGCAAUGAAGGGAGCAGAAGCCAGUAAAAGAAGAUGGGGAGGAGCGGAGAAAGAUUACAAACCGGCAGAAUGAAUAUCUGAGAGAGGAUGGGGGUGUGAUCCAACUAACAGACUUGCAGUAAGAUAACUGACCUUCAUACCUGAUUUUUUAUAUGUUUCAGAUGGUAUGGCCUCCACAGAGCCCUGAUCUCAACAUCACUGAGACUGUCUGAGAUUACUUGGAGAAACAGAAGCAAGUGAAUCAGCCAAAGCCUGCAGAAGAAAUGUGGCAAGUUCUCCAAGAUGCUUGAAACAACCUACCAGCUGAUUUUCUUAGGAAUUGACAGAGUUUUAAAGGCAAAUGAUGGUCACUCUAAAUAUUGAUUUGAUUUUUUAUAGUGUUUACUGCUCUUUACAGUAAAUUUUUGCUUUACAGAUUUUUUUACAUGUGCCUAAGACUUCUGCACAGUAGUGUACCCUCAGUUUUAAAUGGCUGGUGUCUUAUUUUGCAGUUAUGCUCCUUCUUUAUGACUCAGGUGGAAACAUCUCAGCAUCUAACAAGAUUCCUCAGGAUCUUUAUGUUUGAGUAAGGUCAGCUCUCAUUCUUCUUAACUCAAAGGAAUACACACUCAAACUAUCUAGCUUCUAUUGACAGGCCAGCCUCUCUAGUCAGCAAUUAGCCUGGUGAAUGUCCUUUGGGCUCCUUCUAAAGUUAUCAUUUAUUUUGGGUAAAGGGAACCAAACCAAGCACAGUAUUCCAGGUUUGGUCUGCCUAAUACCCUGUACAAUUAGUUGUAACAAAUUCUUGUUUUUUUAAUAUCAAUCGUUUUGUAGUGAAGGUGAAUAUGCCUUUUUAACAACUUGUUAGACCUUCCUGCUAAUUUUUUUGAGAUUUUUUUUUACUCUAGAUCGGGGGUCGGCAACCCGCGGCUCCGGAGCCACAUGUGGCUCUGGAGCCACAUGUGGCUCUUUUACGUCUGUGCUGCGGCUCCCUGUUGCUUUGGGAAAUAAUUGGUUGUGGCAACCCUUUUCCUGGCACAUCCGAACCGACUCACUAUUAGAUAGCCUACGGGGGUUUGCGAGCACAGAGCUUUGGAGCCUCUGCGCCAUGGGGGGCAGGUUGAGGGAGGCUUAAAAGUGAGGCUGAAGAUUUCGAAUAAAGUUUUUUCCUUCGACUGCAGUUACCGACUCCGUGUCGUAAUUUUAGUGCUGCGUGUAGCACACCGCUACAUGGUCAGUAUUUAAUUAAAAUGUAUUUUAUGUUAGUUUGUUAGUUUUUGAAAUGUAAUUCUAAAUUUGAAGAUUAUGGUGAUCUUGUACAAUCUAAAUAAGACGUUGUGGCGACCCAUUUCCUGACACAUCCGAACCGGCUCACAAUUAGCCAGCGCUCAGGCUAAGGGAGAUAGCCUAAGGGGGUUUGUGAGUACGUGCCUUUUGCAGCAUCCGCGCCCAUGGGGGGCGGGUUGAGGGAGGCUUAAAAGCAAGGCUGUUUAGUUCGAAUAAAGCUAUCUUUGACUGCAGUUUACUGACUGCGUGUAGCAACCGCUACAACGUGUUUUUAUCGCUGGCUGUCCAGAGGGGAGGUGCUGAAACGCUUUGUCGCAUGUCUGGAAGAAGAGAAAACUUUCCUGGGCAGCAAAGGGCUCACCUUUCCUGAGCUGGAACAGCCAGAGUGGCUGGAAAAGCUACACUUCAUGGUAGACAUGACAGCGCACCUGAACACGCUGAACACAGCUCUUCAACGGGGUAAGGACGUACAGCCCUGCACAUGUUGGAGGAUGUUUUGGCAUUCGAGCGCAAGUUGACGUUGCUUGCCAGAGAUUUACAGAAAGACACAUUGUCUCACUUCCCCAAUUUGAGAGAGUUCAAACAAGGUCACGACAUGAUAAAUUCGGAGUAUUUACAUUCUGCAAUCAUUGCAAUGCAAACAUCGUUUGGGAAACGCUUCUGUGAGUUCAGAGAGGAAAAAAACACAUUAUCCUUCCCGGUCACUCCCCUAAGCAUCGAUCCAUCCCUACUGAAUACGACUGCAUUGUCAGGUGUGAGUCAACCUGAACAAGUAUGAUAAAUAUUUUAAUUGCCUAUUAUUUUACGUAUAUUCAUA